AAUAUGUAUUUAGCCCAACCCAUGAGUAUAGAAACCCUAACACUAUCUCUCUUCCUUCCUCACUCGCUAUCUCACUAUCUCUCUGCCUCUCUGCCUCUCUCACUCUCUUCUUGCUUGAGGACAAAGGUUGGGAAACUAUUCGUCGUGGCGGUGGUGGAGGGCGAUGGGGAUGAAUGACGGGGGGAACAGUGACAGACGAUGGGGACUGCUAUACGGAAAUUAUUGGAGAAACCCAUAUUCCCAUGUGAUUAAGGUGAUCAGCUGAGGCAAGGUAGGAGAGAGUAGAGCAAAUUAUAGAGAGUUGAUGUGGCCAAUUGCAGUGAUUGUAUUAUUUCUUAUGAGUUUUAGCUAUACCCAUGUAGAGAAGUUGAGGUACUUUUAUUAUGUAAUGAAUUUAAAUUUUUAAGAUUAGAAGCCAAUCUUAGUGAUUAUCUUAUGAUGAUUAGAAUUUUUUCUUGAGCUAUCAAAUCUUGUACUAUUUUAUUGUGUGUAAUUGUAUAUUUUAUUUGGGAAGAUUUUUGUUAUCAGCUAUGCCAUAAUAUUGGCAUAGAAA